rnacentral:rRNA from 1 species
CCGGCACGGGUGAGUAACGCGUAUGCAACUUACCUAUCAGGAGGGGAUAACCCGGCGAAAGUCGGACUAAUACCGCAUGAAGCAGGGGCCCCGCAUGGGGAUAUUUGCUAAAGAUUCAUCGCUGAUAGAUAGGCAUGCGUUCCAUUAGGCAGUUGGCGGGGUAACGGCCCACCAAACCGACGAUGGAUAGGGGUUCUGAGAGGAAGGUCCCCCACAUUGGUACUGAGACACGGACCAA